UACAGAGGUCUCAAGCGUUGUUCGGAUUCAUUGGGCGUAAAGGGUGCGUAGGCGGCGCGGUAAGUCGGGUGUGAAAUUUCGGAGCUUAACUCCGAAACUGCAUUCGAUACUGCCGUGCCUUGAGGACUGGAGAGGAGACUGGAAUUUACGGUGUAGCAGUGAAAUGCGUAGAGAUCGUAAGGAAGACCAGUGGCGAAGGCGGGUCUCGUG
rnacentral:rRNA from 1 species